rnacentral:lncRNA from 1 species
UCAGGACACAGCGUGGCCAUGAGGGCUCCUGCUCAGCUCCUGGGGCUCUUGCUGCUCUGGCUCCCAGCUAAAGAGGGACAGCACUGGGGAUAUACUGAGUCCAAAGUGGUCUGUGUCAUGCUCUGAUGUCUAAUUGAGUGAAUAUUUAAUUCUUGUUUUCUAUGUCAGCUGCCAGAUGUGACAUCAUGAUGAUGCAAUCUCCUGCCUCCUUGUCUGCAUCUCAAGGAGACAGAGUCACCAUCACCUGCAGGGCCAGUCAGGGCAUUAGCAAUAAGUUAAACUGGUAUCAGCAGAAACAAGGGCAAGCUCCUAAGCUCCUCAUCAAAUAUGCAACCAGUUUGGAAUCUGAUGUCCCCUCAAUGUUCAGUGGCAGUGGAUCUGGCACAGAUUUCACUCUCACCAUCAGAAGCCAGGAGCCUGAAGAUGUUGCCAAUUAUUACUGUCU